UGGUCCAUUCUAAUCCCUGCCGGCCGACCUGUGGCCUGCCAGGUUUCGCUUGUGGACCAGAGCACCCUUAGAAGCCUCACCAGAAGAGUGCGCGGGGCCUCAGUGGACUCCUGCAGUGGGCGCUUCUAGACAUGG